rnacentral:rRNA from 1 species
UCGGACGUACCCAAGAGUGGGGGAUAACGUAGCGAAAGUUACGCUAAUACCGCAUACGAUCUAAGGAUGAAAGCAGGGGAUCGCAAGACCUUGUGCUCCUGGAGCGGCCGAUAUCUGAUUAGCUAGUUGGUGAGGUAAAGGCUCACCAAGGCAACGAUCAGUAGCUGGUCUGAGAGGACGACCAGCCACACUGGAACUGAGACACGGUCCAGACUCCUACGGGAGGCAGCAGUGGGGAAUUUUGGACAAUGGGGGCAACCCUGAUCCAGCAAUGCCGCGUGAGUGAAGAAGGCCUUCGGGUUGUAAAGCUCUUUUGUCAGGGAAGAAAAGGUCGUGGCUAAUAUCCACGACUGCUGACGGUACCUGAAGAAUAAGCACCGGCUAACUACGUGCCAGCAGCCGCGGUAAUACGUAGGGUGCAAGCGUUAAUCGGAAUUACUGGGCGUAAAGCGUGCGCAGGCGGUUUCGUAAGUCUGUCGUGAAAUCCCCGGGCUUAACCUGGGAAUGGCGAUGGAGACUGCGAGGCUAGAGUUUGGCAGAGGGGGGUAGAAUUCCACGUGUAGCAGUGAAAUGCGUAGAGAUGUGGAGGAACACCGAUGGCGAAGGCAGCCCCCUGGGUCAAAACUGACGCUCAUGCACGAAAGCGUGGGGAGCAAACAGGAUUAGAUACCUGGUAGUCCACGCCCUAAACGAUGUCUACUAGUUGUUGGGUCUUAAUUGACUUAGUAACGCAGCUAACGCGUGAAGUAGACCGCCUGGGGAGUACGGUCGCAAGAUUAAAACUCAAAGGAAUUGACGGGGACCCGCACAAGCGGUGGAUGAUGUGGAUUAAUUCGAUGCAACGCGAAAAACCUUACCUACCCUUGACAUGGCAGGAAUCCUGGAGAGAUCUGGGAGUGCUCGAAAGAGAACCUGCACACAGGUGCUGCAUGGCUGUCGUCAGCUCGUGUCGUGAGAUGUUGGGUUAAGUCCCGCAACGAGCGCAACCCUUGUCAUUAGUUGCUACGCAAGAGCACUUUAAUGAGACUGCCGGUGACAAACCGGAGGAAGGUGGGGAUGACGUCAAGUCCUCAUGGCCCUUAUGGGUAGGGCUUCACACGUCAUACAAUGGUACAUACAGAGGGCCGCCAACCCGCGAGGGGGAGCUAAUCCCAGAAAGUGUAUCGUAGUCCGGAUUGUAGUCUGCAACUCGACU